GAUGAACGCUGGCGGCGUGCCUAAUACAUGCAAGUCGAACGAAACUUCUUUAUCACCGAGUGCUUGCACUCACCGAUAGAGAGUUGAGUGGCGAACGGGUGAGUAACACGUGGGCAACCUGCCCAAAAGAGGGGGAUAACACUUGGAAACAGGUGCUAAUACCGCAUAACCAUAGUUACCGCAUGGUAACUAUGUAAAAGGUGGCUAUACUACCGCUUUUGGAUGGGCCCGCGGCGCAUUAGCUAGUUGGUAGGGUAAAGGCUUACCAAGGCAAUGAUGCGUAGCCGAAUUGAGAGGUUGAUCGGCCACAUUGGGACUGAGACACGGCCCAAACUCCUACGGGAGGCAGCAGUAGGGAAUCUUCCACAAUGGGCGAAAGCCUGAUGGAGCAACGCCGCGUGGGUGAAGAAGGUCUUCGGAUCGUAAAACCCUGUUGUUAGAGAAGAAAGUGCGUGAGAGUAACUGUUCACGUUUCGACGGUAUCUAACCAGAAAGCCACGGCUAACUACGUG
rnacentral:rRNA from 1 species